rnacentral:pre_miRNA from 1 species
UAACCUCCGCAGGCUGAUCAGCCCCCAGGCUGGGCUGGGCGAGUAUCUCUUCGAAAGGCUCACCCUCCAGCAUGACUAAGAGC